AUACCUUCGGUUUGACGAUUUAUUGUCUCGCCGGCGUUGGCGGUUUUGGGAUACGCGGGGCAACCCGCGCCAUUCUGCUUAAACACUGACAGCGGGGUUAAGUUUAGAACACCUUCGAUUAGUAGAAAUAUUCAUCGAAAAGGAAUUUGAGCUUGCCCGCCAUACAAAAUAAAGGGGUAAAACUCUUAUAA
rnacentral:misc_RNA from 1 species